rnacentral:rRNA from 1 species
AGAGUUUGAUCCUGGCUCAGAUUGAACGCUGGCGGUAUGCUUAACACAUGCAAGUCGAACGGAAACGAAACUAGCUUGCUAGUAGGCGUCGAGUGGCGGACGGGUGAGUAACGCGUAGGAAUCUGCCUGAUAGUGGGGGAUAGCCCGAAGAAAUUCGGGUUAAUACCGCAUAAUCUAUUCGUAGUAAAGUGGGGGACUUUCGAGCCUCACGCUAUCAGAUGAGCCUGCGUAAGAUUAGCUUGUUGGUAGGGUAAAAGCCUACCAAGGCAACGAUCUUUAGCUGGUCUGAGAGGAUGAUCAGCCACAUCGGGACUGAGACACGGCCCGAACUCCUACGGGAGGCAGCAGUGGGGAAUAUUGGACAAUGGGGGCAACCCUGAUCCAGCAAUACCGCGUGUGUGAAGAAGGCCUGAGGGUUGUAAAGCACUUUCAAUUGUGAAGAAAAGUUAACGGUUAAUAACCGUUGACCUUGACGUUAACUUUAGAAGAAGCACCGGCUAACUCCGUGCCAGCAGCCGCGGUAAUACGGAGGGUGCAAGCGUUAAUCGGAAUUACUGGGCGUAAAGCGUGCGUAGGCGGUUUAUUAAGUCAGAUGUGAAAGCCCCGGGCUUAACCUGGGAACUGCAUUUGAAACUGGUCAACUAGAGUAUGGUAGAGGAAAGUGGAAUUUCUGGUGUAGCGGUGAAAUGCGUAGAUAUCAGAAGGAACAUCAAUGGCGAAGGCAGCUUUCUGGACCAAUACUGACGCUGAGGUACGAAAGCGUGGGUAGCAAACAGGAUUAGAUACCCUGGUAGUCCACGCCGUAAACGAUGAUAACUAGCCGUUGGGGGGAUUUACCCCUUAGUGGCGAAGCUAACGCGUUAAGUUAUCCGCCUGGGGAGUACGGCCGCAAGGCUAAAACUCAAAGGAAUUGACGGGGACCCGCACAAGCGGUGGAGCAUGUGGUUUAAUUCGAUGCAACGCGAAGAACCUUACCUGGUCUUGACAUCCUGCGAACUUUCUAGAAAUAGAUUGGUGCCUUCGGGAACGCAGUGACAGGUGCUGCAUGGCUGUCGUCAGCUCGUGUCGUGAGAUGUUGGGUUAAGUCCCGUAACGAGCGCAACCCCUAUCCUUAUUUGCCAGCACAUUAUGGUGGGAACUAUAAGGAGACUGCCGGUGAUAAACCGGAGGAAGGCGGGGACGACGUCAAGUCAUCAUGGCCCUUACGACCAGGGCUACACACGUGCUACAAUGGGAAGGACAAAGAGCCGCGAAGCCGCGAGGUGUAGCUAAUCUCAUAAAUCUUUUCGUAGUCCGGAUUGGAGUCUGCAACUCGACUCCAUGAAGUCGGAAUCGCUAGUAAUCGUAGAUCAGAAUGCUACGGUGAAUACGUUCCCGGGUCUUGUACACACCGCCCGU